CUGAAAUGACUAGGAAUUCCAUCAGGAUUACAAAAUAUUCUGGUGGUACUUCUAUAACUAUGGCCAGAAGUUCUUACUGCCCCAGUAAUAUGCAUGUAUCUCUGCUUCCAAGUCUUGCUUCAGUCCUUCUUUCUCUUGGUAUGUGGAAUGCCUCCCUUUGCUCAUCUUACAUUCAUACCCAACUCAUGUAUUAAAAAACUUGAUCCUAGAAAAAUAACUUUCCUCAUUCAUCUCCAGUGCUUAGGAAUUAUUUAAUUAAAUUAUAAAUCAUUGAUUGAGCUGGUGACUAGCUGGUCACUUUACACUUUCAAGACUCCUGUUACCCUUGGAAAGAUAAAUAGCCUUGAGGUAAGUAAGCAAUUUGGGGCCUGACUUCCGUAAGAUUUUUUUUUUUUCAAGGAAAAUGUUUGUCACCUAAGAAAACACAUCAAGAAUAACUUUCGCAAUGGAUGAGGGAUAAACAAAUGUCCAAGAUUCCUAGAACCAAUUCUCAUGGAAACUAAAAGAAUACCCUUGUCAGAAUCAGCAAUAGACAUUUCCACAGUAAUGUUCUCCAGGGGAUAUUGUCCCUCAGGAUCAAAGAGGUUUUAUUGAGCUUCUAAUAUGCAUUUGACUCAAAGAAACUAAGGAAACAGUGCUUUGUCUUAACUUUUAUGAUUCAAAAAAUAUUUUAUGCGAAAACAGUAAAAUACCCAUAUGGCAGUAAAUAAUACAAAGAAGCUAUUCCACUCAAUUACAAAUAUUACUGAACAUUUAUGACAUACAUACAUAUAACAUUCUUCUAGGCAUGGGACACAACAAGAAUGAAUUAUGUUUUGAAAUCUAUUUUUCCAGAUAUUUUGAACAGCCAUCAAGGCUUCUCUAUUUUCACAGCCUCUAAGAACCUAGAAUGGUGCUUUAAACAGAUUCCAUGCUCAAUCAAGGUGGUGAACCAGAGAAAAAGAAGGGAAAGGCAGGAUCAGAAGAGCCACAAACAACAUUUUAGGAUAGAUAUAAUGGUGAGUACAGGUGAUGACCUAGAAAUAAGGACAUCUGGGAGAAAAGGUCACAAUGAGGCACUGAGACAAACUGGAGACAGAUGUGGCACAGAUAAAAGAAAGGUGUAUUUUACAAAGCCUCAGGUACCUGGAAACAAAAUCCCAGUUUAUGGCAUUUGAGAAUGCAUGGUAUAUAUAACAAGAUGGGAAGCCCAGGACAUUAAUCUGAAGCACUUUCAAGAACAUUCAAGACUAAAAGUCUCAGCAGUUUUAAUAAAUGUCACAUGUGUUAGGUUAAGAUGUUCA
rnacentral:lncRNA from 1 species